CCGCGUCCCCAGGUCAGGCGUGAAU
rnacentral:rRNA from 2 species